UCACCCUCACCCGUGGCCAGGAAGGGCAGGGGACACAGGCACAGCCCCUGGGUGGCCACCCCUGGUCACAGUGCCUGAGCUGGAUGAGCUCAUAAUGCAGGUAGCGUCCAUGCCAGAGCUCUGCUGGGCAGGAGACAGAGGUACCAGGAAGAGAGUUCUCCAUCUGGAGGGCUUCCACUGGGGGCUGUGAAUGCCAGGAUGGUGGGAGCCCUCUCUCCUGGGAAGGGAGCCUGUGUCUGAGUUGGAGUCCAAGGGACAGAGAUAUCCCAUGAGAUCCCUCAGUGUCUGCGGAUCUUUUGUAGCCCACAAACGCAAAUAUCGCGGUUUUCCAGUCCUGAAACAUUGAUAAGUUCUGAUAGAGUCAGAGGCACGGUGCUUGGCGGGUAGCGAGGAAGACUUUGGUGACGUAAGCAGAACGUGGUCCACGCCUCCGUCUCCGAGGGGAAAGGCAGGCGCAGCAUCAGACACGGGUGGCAGUGAGUCCCAGCGGGACAGACAGUCUUGGGUGGAAAUAAAGAGUUACUAGAUACUGUAA